ensembl:snoRNA SNORD36 Small nucleolar RNA SNORD36
UUGCAAUGAUGUCUGAAUUUCUUCACCUGAAAGUUUGUGUUGAUUCAAACCGAGCUUUUUAACCCUGAGCAAA